GAUGAAGAACGUAGCGAAAUGCGAUACGUAAUGUGAAUUGCAGAUCUCUCAGUGAACCAUCGAAUUUUUGAACGCACAUAGCGCCCGCCGGUCAUUCCGGCGGGCAUGCCUGUCCGAGCGUCGAUGACGCCGCUCGAGCCCCCGUGCUCGGUGUUGGGGCGCUAGGUCUCCCAGAGGCCUAGGCCCCCAAGUAGCAGUGCGCGGUCCGGCUGCGGGCCCCGGGUACAGUAACUUCACUGUUGAGAUGCCCUGGGAGCCGCUGGCUGGGUCAGCCGUGAAACCCCCGACAUAGGCCUUCCUGUCCGCCCCCGGCGGGGAGGGAGACCGCCUAAUGUUGACCUCGGAUCAGGUAGGACUACCCGCUGAACUUAAGCAUAUCAAUAAGCGGAGGA
rnacentral:misc_RNA from 1 species